UACAGAGGGUGCGAGCGUUGUCCGGAAUCACUGGGCGUAGAGGGCGCGUAGGCGGCUUGAUAAGGUUGCGGUGAAAGCCCGGGGCUCAACCCCGGGUCGGCCGUGGCAACUGUCGAGCUGGAGCACUGUAGAGGCAGGUGGAAUUCCGGGUGUAGCGGUGGAAUGCGUAGAGAUCCGGAAGAACACCGGUGGCGAAGGCGGCCUGCUGGGCAGUGGCUGACGCUGAGGCGCGACAGCGUGGGGAGCAAACAGG
rnacentral:rRNA from 1 species